rnacentral:rRNA from 1 species
UACGGAGGAUCCAAGCGUUAUCCGGAUUUAUUGGGUUUAAAGGGUGCGUAGGCGGCUUAUUAAGUCAGAGGUGAAAGACGGUGGCUCAACCAUCGCAGUGCCUUUGAUACUGAUGAGCUUGAAUAGACCUGAGGUAGGCGGAAUGUGACAAGUAGCGGUGAAAAUGCAUAGAUAUGUCACAGAACACCAAUUGCGAAGGCAGCUUACUAAAGUCUUAUUGACGCUGAGGCACGAAAGCGUGGGGAUCAAACAGG